rnacentral:lncRNA from 1 species
GAUUUGGCCUAUGAGGCCGAUGGUUUAGAAAAUGGUCGACCAGACCAGACAACAACUUUAGAAAGCCGGAGGCUUGAUUGUAUCUAUGACAGUGAGCCUUUAGGGUUAGAAAACAAUCCCACUAAAUGAGUCCCAUAAGAUACAAGCCAAAGAUCCCCUCAAAGAGAUCAAUCUGGGAGAUGGAAUCACAAAAAGACCAACCUACAUAAGUACUAAGGUG